CCUACGGGCGGCAGCAGUGGGGAAUAUUGCACAAUGGGCGAAACCCUGAUGCAGCGACGCCGCGUGAGUGAAGAAGUUUUUCGGAUUGUAAAGUUCUGUUCUUAGUGAAGAAGAAUGACGGUAACUAAGUAGCAAGCCACGGCUAACUACGUGCCAGCAGCCGCGGUAAUACGUAGGGGGCAAGCGUUGUCCGGAAUUACUGGGUGUAAAGGGAGCGUAGGCGGGAGGGCAAGUCAGCAGUGAAAGCCAAGGGCUUAACCCUGAGACUGCAGUGGAAACUGGCUAGCUUGAGUGAUGGAGGGGUUGGUGGAAUUCCGAGUGUAGCGGUGAAAUGCGUAGAUAUUAGGAGGAACACCAGUGGCGAAGGCGGCUAACUGGGCUUUAACUGACGCUGAGGCUCGAAAGUGUGGGGAGCAAACAGGAUUAGAUACCCCAGUAGUC
rnacentral:rRNA from 1 species